rnacentral:rRNA from 1 species
AGAGUUUGAUCCUGGCUCAGGACGAACGCUGGCGGCGUGCUUAACACAUGCAAGUCGAACGGUGAAGCCCUUCGGGGUGGAUCAGUGGCGAACGGGUGAGUAACACGUGGGAAAUCUGCCCUGCACUCUGGGACAAGCCUUGGAAACGAGGUCUAAUACCGGAUAUGACCUGCUCCUCGCAUGGGGGUGGGUGUAAAGCUCCGGCGGUGCAGGAUGAUCCCGCGGCCUAUCAGCUUGUUGGUGGGGUAAUGGCCUACCAAGGCGACGACGGGUAGCCGGCCUGAGAGGGCGACCGGCCACACUGGGACUGAGACACGGCCCAGACUCCUACGGGAGGCAGCAGUGGGGAAUAUUGCACAAUGGGCGAAAGCCUGAUGCAGCGACGCCGCGUGAGGGAUGACGGCCUUCGGGUUGUAAACCUCUUUCAGCAGGGAAGAAGCGCAAGUGACGGUACCUGCAGAAGAAGCACCGGCUAACUACGUGCCAGCAGCCGCGGUA